rnacentral:rRNA from 1 species
GAUGAACGCUGGCGGCGUGCCUAAUACAUGCAAGUCGAGCGAACGGACGAGAAGCUUGCUUCUCUGAUGUUAGCGGCGGACGGGUGAGUAACACGUGGAUAACCUACCUAUAAGACUGGGAUAACUUCGGGAAACCGGAGCUAAUACCGGAUAAUAUUUUGAACCGCAUGGUUCAAAAUUGAAAGACGGUCUUGCUGUCACUUAUAGAUGGAUCCGCGCUGCAUUAGCUAGUUGGUAAGGUAACGGCUUACCAAGGCAACGAUGCAUAGCCGACCUGAGAGGGUGAUCGGCCACACUGGAACUGAGACACGGUCCAGACUCCUACGGGAGGCAGCAGUAGGGAAUCUUCCGCAAUGGGCGAAAGCCUGACGGAGCAACGCCGCGUGAGUGAUGAAGGUCUUCGGAUCGUAAAACUCUGUUAUUAGGGAAGAACGUAUGUGUAAGUAACUGUGCACAUCUUGACGGUACCUAAUCAGAAAGCCACGGCUAACUACGUG